ensembl:ncRNA E02A10.8 ncRNA
UAGACUUUCUCAUUCUGAAAAUUACGUUAGAUUAUGAUUAUGAAAGUUAAAUAUAUCAAGAUAAUACUUAAAGCUAAAGAAAGAGAUGAAGUGGAAUGAAAAGAGAAGUGAAAUGCCAUGUGGAUGCAUCGUGGUCCGUCUUUUAUAGUGCUGUUAUGGCUGUGGGCUGGAUCCUUCACAACGCCCGUUGCCGCCAUACAAACCAGAUUCUCCAU